rnacentral:lncRNA from 1 species
UUUGUGUGUUCGAACCCUACGGGUGAAUCUCAGUUCUUCCAUCUACCAAUGAGUCCAUCAUAGAGCUCCUGGUGGGAGCACAUGUCUCCUCACUUCAAUCAGGAGCCCUGUCGGGGUGCCCCAGUCCUUUCCACAUCCAUGAAAGCUAUUGGAGAAAUGAGCAGUGAGUCCAUCUCUGUAGGAGCCCAAGUUGGACCUGUGGGCUACAUUACUGGAUAGUUAGCCCAUGAGAGAGGGGAAAAAAGGACAUCUUCAGCUUUUCAGAAUGGAAACAGAUGCAGAAGCUAAGGAGAGAGAAGUCACCCGCCGCUUUUCCCUAGCCUCCUCCAUCAACACCACAGUUAACACAUCUGCUCUGACCAAAGGUUGGCCCAGCAGACAGAUGCCGUCACUAGACACAUUCGAGGAUUUUGAAGCUAUCCCCUCCAGCACCGAUGAGCUCUCUAACUCUUCUGACAUGGAGGAAGAGACCAACGCUAACAAUGUGUCCAACCUCUUUCGGGUAGAAGGCAGCUUUGAAACCUGUUUUCCAGAGUCUCUUGCUCUAGAGGAUGGAGAUUUAGUGCAGUUUGUACAGGAGGGAGAAAACGGACAAUGGCUAGUCAAGAAGCUGGUGUCUGAGAAAAGUGACUGGGUUCCUUCUAGCGUGUUACAGCCAGCAGACGGGCAUAGUAACAACUUGCUUAGGAACAGCAAUGCAGAAGCAUACAAUGAUGCCUGCAACACGACCUCUGCAGAAUCGGCAAUGAAGGAAAGUGAGGUGGCCAGGAGCUUAGCAGCAGAGCAGAGGGCUGGAAGUUGAGUCACGGGGCUGUGACCUCCUCAGGACUCCAGGCUCUUGUUUGUUGGUUAGGGGUGGAUGCUGGACCAAGUUGCCUUUCUCACCAGCUCUGAGCUUCAGAGUUUCUUCCAUCUUCAUCAGCAUGAACAGAAGAGAACUGCUGGGUCCAGCUGACAAGCUGAAAGACUUGAAGACGCACUAGACAUUAAAAAAAAAAAAAAAAAGCAUCAGAACCAUCUUCAGUAUUAAACAGGAAUUGAUAAAUGCUUCUCGCAUUGGUUAGCAAACUGUUGGAGAGGAUGUGGCCUAAAUUAGGUCGACAGCAGAAUGAAAAGCUACUAUGCACCCACCUUUUGGCAACCUUGCUUGGGUUCUUUCCAAAGGAUGGAUCUGUGGUCACCAGUUCCUGCUCUGCUGGGGAAUCGCCUGGCAUUUUUCCAUUUGUCUGGCUCUGCUGCUGUGCCUUUCCCUGACUCCCCUCAUUCCAGAAGAUAGACCAUGAAAUUAUCCAGUCAUUCCUAACGGAUCAUCAGGAGCAAGAACCUAACAUUUGCAGGGAAGUGGUGGUGGAAAAACUCAUGCCAGCUCAAGACUAUCAGUGAAGCUGAGCCCCGCCAAGGCGCGACUGCUUUGACAGUGGUGCGGUGAACGAUAUUCUGUUUACAGGAUCUGUGGAUGAUGCAGGUUGGCAACUUCUGGCCAGAAGAUGGAGUUUCAAGGUUAAGUGGUGAACAAAGGCAUGUGAUGAUGACUGUGCCGAAGGACCAGCUGAGCUCUUCUUACAGUAUAAACAGAUUCCUUCCCUCUACUAUGGUUGCUGGAUCACAUCCCUCUGCAUUUGGUGCUGAUAAUUUCAUAGAGCAGCAUUUAAAGUUACCCAUUUGAGUACACUGCAUGCUUGCACUUCCAUUGUGUGCUGGGCUAUGAAGUAGGUACAGUUCAUUCCCAUGUCGUAUCCAAAUAUACUUAAGCAUUUGCUAAUAGGCUGGUGAGUGUUAGAAACACUGAUGAGUGGAUAAAG